UACCAGCACCUCGAGUGGUCAGGAGGUUUAUUGGGCCUAAAGCAUCCGUAGCCGGCUACGCAAGUCUUCGGUUAAAUCCAACUGCUCAACAGAUGGGCUGCCGGAGAUACUACAUAGCUAGGGAGCGGGAGAGGCAGACGGUAUUCGGUGGGUAGGGGUAAAAUCCACUGAUCCAUCGAGGACCACCAGUGGCGAAGGCGGUCUGCCAGAACGCGUUCGACGGUGAGGGAUGAAAGCUGGGGGAGCAAACCGG
rnacentral:rRNA from 1 species